UUGUAGCAGGCUCAGACGGUAAAAGCGUCUGCCUGCAAUGCGGGAGACCUGGGUUCGAUUCCUGGGUCGGAAA
rnacentral:tRNA from 1 species